GCGAUUUUGAUUAAACAGAAAAUUAAAAGAUUACAGGUCAAUUAACUAAACAACUAAAAGUAGAUAAGAUAUAUGGAAUAGAUGUGGCGUGCUAAUCCUCGGCUUGAAGGUCAAAAACCAAUAGCGAGGUUUCCUCCUAUCUUCUGGUAGUUGUAUCUGUCGCUCGUCGGAUGUGGAAAACUGUUGCUCGCGAAAUGAUCUCAUUCGCGGUCACUGGAAGGCGUGGAGCCGAGGUCUCACUCGAGGUCCUUC
rnacentral:lncRNA from 1 species